CAGCCGCCGCGGUAAUACGGAGGGUGCAAGCGUUAAUCGGAUUUACUGGGCGUAAAGCGUGCGUAGGCGGCUUCUUAAGUCGGAUGUGAAAUCCCUGAGCUUAACUUAGGAAUUGCAUUCGAUACUGGGAAGCUAGAGUAUGGGAGAGGAUGGUAGAAUUCCAGGUGUAGCGGUGAAAUGCGUAGAGAUCUGGAGGAAUACCGAUGGCGAAGGCAGCCAUCUGGCCUAAUACUGACGCUGAGGUACGAAAGCAUGGGGAGCAAACAGGAUUAGAUACCCCCGUAGUCCCUGUCUCUUAUAC
rnacentral:rRNA from 1 species